GACGAACGCUGGCGGCGUGCUUAACACAUGCAAGUCGAACGGAAAGGCCCUGCUUUUGUGGGGUGCUCGAGUGGCGAACGGGUGAGUAACACGUGAGUAACCUGCCCUUGACUUUGGGAUAACUUCAGGAAACUGGGGCUAAUACCGGAUAGGAGCUCCUGCUGCAUGGUGGGGGUUGGAAAGUUUCGGCGGUUGGGGAUGGACUCGCGGCUUAUCAGCUUGUUGGUGGGGUAGUGGCUUACCAAGGCUUUGACGGGUAGCCGGCCUGAGAGGGUGACCGGCCACAUUGGGACUGAGAGACGGCCCAGACUCCUACGGGAGGCAGCAGUGGGGAAUAUUGCAGAAUGGGCGGAAGCCUGAUGCAGCAACGCCGCGUGCGGGAUGACGGCCUUCGGGUUGUAAACAGAUUUCGCCUGUGACGAAGCGUGAGUGACGGUAAUGGGUAAAGAAGCACCGGCUAACUACGUG
rnacentral:rRNA from 1 species